rnacentral:rRNA from 1 species
AAUGAACGCUGGCGGCGUGCUUAACACAUGCAAGUCGAGCGAGAAAGCUCUUCGGAGUUAGUAAAGUGGCGAACGGGUGAGUAACGCGUGAGAAUUUGCCUUUCAGUAAGGGAUACCUCCGAGAAAUCGGGGCUAAUACUGUAUAAGCUCAGCUUGCUGAGGAAAGAUGGCCUCUUGCUAUCGCUGAAAGAUAAGCUUGCGUCCUAUUAGCUUGUUGGUGGGGUAACUGCCUACCAAGGCUCAGAUGGGUAGCCGGCCUGAGAGGGUGUACGGCCACAUUGGGACUGAGAUACGGCCCAG